GCAUAUCGCCGUGCCAUCCCCGACGGAAGCCGCGUCUCGCUGGGCGGCCGGGUGGCUGCAUCCGAGGCCGGCGGUCCGAGUAGUCCUAGUGAUAUGGUGCCGACGUCGCUUCCUACUCUACGGCGCCGCGGUCCUCCUGGGCGGCUCGCUCGCGGCGGCCACUUCUGGAUACGAUCGCCUGAUAUGUUCCGGACCACGGGGCGACCCAACCAACUGGAUUAACACCGAACACAAAGGGUGCAUCAACGAACACAACGCACAAUCUUCCUGCUGGUCGGGUUGAGUUGCCAGGAUCGGCCAAGGCGUGAAUCGUCGCUGCCGAUGGGAAUCACACCAGCACACUGCUGGGCUCGCCUCUCCUGGCUACACGGGCGUUAAUCGUCGCUGCCGGCGGGAACCACGCCAGGACACGGCUGCGCUCGCCUCUCCUGGCUAAACGGGCGAGGCUGCGAACUCCGCUGGCUUCGAAGGACAACCGUAUGUGCAAUAAUAGCUGUACGUGUCGAUGUACGAUAGUACAUUGACAACAAAGUUAGUAAAGCUUGGCAGUUGCGUACCAA